rnacentral:rRNA from 1 species
CUACGGGUGGCUGCAGUGAGGAAUAUUGCACAAUGGGGGGAACCCUGAUGCAGCAACGCCGCGUGGAGGAUGACGCAUUUCGGUGUGUAAACUCCUUUUAUAUGUCAAGAAAAUGACGGUAGCAUAUGAAUAAGCACCGGCUAAUUCCGUGCCAGCAGCCGCGGUAAUACGGAGGGUGCAAGCGUUACUCGGAAUCACUGGGCGUAAAGGACGCGUAGGCGGGUUGGAAAGUCAGGUGUGAAAUCCUACAGCUUAACUGUAGAACUGCACUUGAAACUUCUAGUCUAGAGUAUGGGAGGGGGAGAUGGAAUUAGUGGUGUAGGGGUAAAAUCCGUAGAUAUCACUAGGAAUACCUAAAGCGAAGGCGAUCUCCUGGAACAUUACUGACGCUAAGGCAUGAAAGCGUGGGGAGCAAACAGGAUUAGAUACCCUCGUAGUC